AACGCAAAUUGCACUCUCUUCGGAGAGUAUGCCUGUUUGAGGGUCAGCCUAAAAAAAAUCGACAUAGUUGCUGUUUCGCGGUGACAAUCGUCGGAAAUUGGGCCAUCUUAAAUCUUUUUAUGUUUAAGCGGCUUAAAAUUUUAUUUACGAUUUCACGAACGUUUUUAAGAUUUUAUUUUCUUAUACGUUUAUGUAUCGAUCUUUACUAGACGUGGCCGUUGCAUCGGAUCACGUCCAUAAAUAUUUCGUUAACUGACCUCAUACAGGUAAGAACACCCGCUGAACUUAA
rnacentral:misc_RNA from 1 species